rnacentral:rRNA from 1 species
AUACGGAGGGUGCAAGCGUUACUCGGAAUCACUGGGCGUAAAGCGCGCGCAGGCGGGCUGAGAAGUUGGAUGUGAACGCCUACGGCUCAACCGUAGAACUGCAUCCAAAACUGUCAGUCUAGAGUCUGGGAGGGGAAGAUGGAAUUAGUUGUGUAGGGGUAAAAUCCGUAGAGAUAACUAGGAAUACCAAAAGCGAAGGCGAUCUUCUGGAACAGUACUGACGCUGAGGCGCGAAAGCGUGGGGAGCAAACAGGAUUAGAAACCCUAGUAGUCC